rnacentral:misc_RNA from 1 species
UACAGAGGGUGCAAGCGUUACUCGGAAUUACUGGGCGUAAAGCGCGCGUAGGUGGUGGGUUAAGUUGGAUGUGGAAGCCCCUGGCUCAACCUGGGAACUGCAUCCAAAACUGUCCGACUAGAGGACAGUAGAGGGUGGUGGAAUUUCCUGUGUAGCGGUGAAAUGCGUAGAUAUGGGAAGGAACACCAGUGGCGAAGGCGACCACCUGGACUGAUACUGACAAUGAGGUGCGAAAGCGUGGGGAGCAAACAGG